UACGCGAGGAGAGUCGUCGAUUAUCCGGACGCGCAGACGCCGCCGGUUAUUAUCGGAACGCUCGAUGAGAUUUUCAUUUUCUCCCCCGUAGCCCCGAGAGUGCUCUUUAAAUAAUAUCCGUACACGGUGCGACGGCCGUUUUCGGUCGUAUAAACGGACAUUCCGCGCGUUUCCGUUUGCCGUCCGGGUCGUUUCACUCGAACGGAUCACUCGCCGCGAGCUGAACGCCAAUGACGACGGGUGUCCGACCGCGGAACGACCGAAAGCGACGCUCACGCGAUCGCAUCGUUGAAACGGACGUCCGGCGGCAAUCGAUAAUAAUACGCCUGUUGCUCCCUGGAUUUACUGUGUUACGAUUGUUAUCUAUCGACCCGAUCAGAACGCUGAUAAACGACGUUGCCGUGCGAUAACGACGAUGACCCGCUGCAGAGUUAUAGUGAACCCGCAAAGAAAAAGGCAUAGCUUGAGGUAGACCGAGGAGGAGAUGACUAGACGUGGUAGAAGAUGAUCUCAAAGCCCCGCAGGCAGCGUAAGAAUAGGAGACGAAUUGUUCGAGACCGAGCGUGACGGAGAAAUGUACAGUGAUGGCGGCGAAGACUCUGAUGGAAUUGUAAAGGCCGGUGAAGAA